AAUUCUCAACUAUACAAGUUUUUUAUAAACAUGUGUAGCUUGGAUCUUGGGAUUUGCGGGCUUUCACAAGUCGGCUAUCCUUAAAUGCAUUAGCAGAGCUUUUGCCGCUAAACUCUAGUGUGAUAAUUAUCUACGCUAUUGUGAGGCAGCAUGAAUAGAGCUAUGCUUCUAAUCGUCUUUACAGACAAUACUUGACA
rnacentral:misc_RNA from 1 species